ensembl:snoRNA SNORD36 Small nucleolar RNA SNORD36
UUGCAAUGAUGUAUGAAUUUCUUCGACUGAAUCACCAUGUGGAAUAAUUGAGCUUUUUAACCCUGAGCAAA